AGUUGAUCUUGUUCCGUGUCUUGUUCGGACUUGAUUGCAACCGAAUCGAACCAGCUGUCGUUUCUUUUGGGAUUUGGUUUACGAGCUUCGAAGAUUUUGGACGAUUUUCGACGGAUAAUAGAUUUCGGUCUUCGUGGCGGAAGACGAGAUGGGAAGGAACCGGUUUGCGAUCGAGGUAGCGGUUGGUGUUUUACUUUCCGCGGGAGGUUGGGGCACAUACCUGAUGAAACUGGCAACAAACGUAUUCCAAUCAGAUCCUGCCGUCCACGUGUGGUCCCGCGUUGCAGCGCGAU